ACAAAUGUGUUUGGUGAAACAGUUCUUCAAAUAUUAUAAGAAAUGUAAAACAGAUCUACAUUUAUAAUGUGCUGGAUAUGGAGAGUCUCCGAUUUACUAACUACGAAAGGAGAGAUUUGUAAAACUGACAAUGUAAAGAUAUUUGUAAUAUGAAAAGUGCAGAAGGCACUUGAAUCGAUGUAGACAAUGCUGCCAAGAAGUGCAAGUACAGGAUUCCUGCAGUUGAAGGUCAGAGGAUUAGAAUAUCAGAACAUAGAAGAUAUGGUGGAGGGAUUAGUGGAGGAUAUGAUGGAUAAUAUCGUGACUAUGGAAGAUAUCAGGGAUAAAUAAAGGUUAUAAACAUCAACAGUUUAAUAUAAUCAGACCAGGAAUUUACAAGAGACUAAACAUCUUGGAUUAUGUAUUUUACAAGUAAUGUUUACAGAAACUUGUUAUAUCUGGUGUAGGUUUUAUUUUGUAAAGUAGAAUACUAGACAACCCAUAGAAUAGUUUUACAGUCAAUAAACUGUAAGUGAAUAAACAGUUGUAUACUUCA